ACUUCUGGUCUCCUUCGUUCCUCGUUCCGCGCUCCUCACAGUAGUGCAACCGUGACAACUAUAAGGGCUUUUAUAACUAUUCGCAGAGCAGACAG